GAAUUAUAUUUAAAAUUGUGUCAACUUUCUGCUUUCAGGGCAUUUAUGGCUCCUCUGUUGAAAUGUGUUGAUUCUUCCCAGUAUUUCCAUUUGCUUUACAAGAACCCAGAACAGAGCCACUGCUGGACUCAGCCCUGUGUUUGGAGCGUGUGGCAUAGACCCGAGUAUUAUUAGUUGCCUGUGCUGUGAUUGACUCACUUUGUUCUUUUAACAGAAUACUUCCAUCCAUGUCACUUUGCUUCAGUCUUUAAAUAACAGAAAAGCAAUAUAAAGUUCAUAGAAUAAACUGUGGUUUUGGGUGACAUGCCGCCUCUGCAUGUUUUGGAAUAACAAUGUCUGUCAGGGUCUAGGCUGUUGACAUGCGUGCUUUCCAUUAAGAUGCUGUCCAGUCUUAUACCUGUGUGUGCUGUGCUUUCUCAGUAGGGAUGUCGGUAGCUGUGAGGGCCUUAUAAAGAGAAGGAUAGCAGCCUGGAGACCGGCUGGCUUUUCCUGCCCCGCCUGCUGUAGGACACAGAAACGAAGUGUGUCCUGAAGCUCUGUCUCGCGGCUCCUGCUCCUCAGAAUGGGAGGGGUUGUCUGGCCUUGAGAGCCAGGCUGUGUACAGUGUGCCCAUGAAGCAGGCUUCCCUGAACACCCAGCUUUAAUGUCAUGCUGACACCCAUACACAUUGUUAAAAAGAAAAAAGACAUUAUGAAAGAGGGUACCUUUUGUGAUCAGAUGCGUCUUCAUCACUCGUGUAAGAUGUGAUGAAAAUAAAAAGCAUCAGCCAAGCCCAUUGAGAGCAGUAAAACAGGGAGCAGCUGUUUUAACCUCUUCUGCUUGGGUGUCUUUAUUCAGUAGAACAUUACAAAGUGUAUUUAUAUUUCUGAAGCUCUGGCUAGUUCAGUAAGAAUUUGGAAGGGAAAGUCACUCGGAACAGACAAGUACAGACAUCUUUGUUUUUGUUGUUGUAUUUAAGUACCGAGAGCUAAGCAACCUGCUGAUACCCUGGGCACCUCUUUCAGGACACUGUUGUGGGGCCGUGUUUGUAUACAAUGACUGCUUGCCUCCCCUCCCCCACACACCAGUUUAUUGGACCAGGUUUGAUCUUCUCCUGAUCCAAAGAGGCCCAGGAAAAUGCUUUAUCCUAAAAGUUUUCAAGCGGAAGGAGAAGUCCCAGUCUCUGUCUGGAGUGACAGUGCACACAGGGCACUUACGAGUCAGGAACGCUGAGCCAGCACCGUGUGGACAAGCAGAAAACACAGAUGUGAGAGCACGUGGGAGAGAGCGGCUGCCUUGCAGCCAGCAGCCCAGUGAAGGUUUCCUGCUUCCUUGCCAUGGACUGCGCCAAUCCCUCGGGUAUCCUUAGAAUGCGUUUUGGCUUUUUAAAAAUCAAUCUGAAGUGAGUUUUUCUUAGGCACAACCAAAAGGACCUUGACUAAACUACUACCAGAUAGCUCUAAUCACUAAGGAUUGUGUGUGCUCAGCGUGUUUGCAAAAUACCACUAAAUUCUGGGGAAUUUUUCUUUAGAGAACCUUUCUUGGUCAUUUUGUGUAUUCUCUUAAAGUGGAAUCCUAAACUCACAGAACUAAAAGACACUCCCUCAUUUUUUCAGGGAGAAGCUACUCUGGCCUGAAAAGGGCAGGGCUUUGCCGGUUGUGGGAUGGUCACCUACACUAGGGUCUUUGGACACUUCCCAAACAUCCUUAUGGAAGAUAAACUCCAUUUCCUCUUUGGCAUCAAUGGACAGUAAAACCCAGAAAUAUAGGGCAUAAAAUAAUGCCCAUUUAGUCAGUAGCUAAUACAAGCUUCAAAUGAGGGAGGGUAGUGAUUAUCACUGAAUUUGAGUGCUGACCACUUGGUACUGGGCACAGAGUCUGGCCUUUGGUUGGAGCCAGACGUGAGGGUUAAUUCCAGCAGCAUGUUCAGGGUUACAGCUUAGGAGCCCGACUGAAUAGCUGCCCUACGGGGCUGUCUGCUGAGGAGGCCUCUGCUUGGGCUCAGAGUAGGGAGCUGUGUCCUGCACGGAGUUGGGUGAGGGGGCAAGGAAAUGGCUGGCGGGGUGUUGAGGGAUCCUUGAGAGCAAAGGCCUAGAGGAUGUCCCUGUGCAUGGAGGGAAGCCCGCCUGAUGGCUGUCACUCAGGGUUGGACCUCUUCUGCCUUCAGCUUCACGCCACCGCGUGUCUCCUCAUCCGCUCCCUCCACCCAGCCUAUGGCUGGCAAACCACCCUGGGCAUGGCAGCGCAGCCUCAGGGCUCUCCUCAGCUGGCCCCUGGGGGUUGCUCAUGAGCCCAGGCAGAGCAACUGGGCCCCAGCGGUAGGUGGGCAGGUGCCAGGAAAGAGUGGCUCGCGUUCAGCCAGAGGGAACUGGCAUUUGCCAAGGAGCUAGUGAGGGCUGUGGUAGUGGUGUUUCCUGACACCCAGGUCCAUGAUAAGUGGCUUUCCAGCUCACUCCAAAAUGGGUCACUCCAAAAUGACCUGAGCUGACCUCUCCCUCCUUCCCAGUGAGAACCCACAUGCCGGCACCUUGCGGGCCAGUGGGAGCUGGGCCUCCAGAUCAGGUGUAGCUCCGCCCUGAGCCCAUGGGCCCCUCAUCUUGGCAAAGAGCCUUUUGUUUUUUUAACGACAGAGCUGCUGGUCACCCACGCAGAAGUACUUUAAUGCCUACGAAGUGUUGACGGUGCAGGGACACAGAGUAGGGUGAAACCCUCUGGGUCACUGGAGCUUCCACUCCAACAAGGAGACAGGUGAGAUGCGCAUUUGAAGCAGGUGCUGGGGUUUUAGGCCAGGACGGCCCUUUGAGCCAAUGAUUUAACCCCGCUUCCUCCCAGAGCCCUGGCAGAGGUCACCAGGGUUCAUGACCUUACCCCCCCACCUUUGAACCCCCUUCCCAGCCCCCAGAGGGCUGUGUGCAACUCUGUUCCCUCAUCGCCAUUGUUUCUCAAGUGCUCUCCCAUGGAAUCCAUGCAAUACUCCUCUAAGCAUGCACCUUUUUCUUGUUAUAAACAGGGAGAUGGGCUUUGGAGGAAAGCCGGCCCCUCCAGGGCCGCAAGUCAAGUCCAGGCAGCCAUUCAAGAUAUCUACCCAUUACCUGAAAGCCGUGACCUUACACUUCACGUGCGUCAGGGCCCCCUAGAAAACGUGUUCAAUCGAUUGCUUCCCCUCCCCCGACCCACCCCAGAAUUUCUGGGUUAAUGUAUGUGGUGAGGGGGCAGCCAGGGGAGGGGAGGGGAGGGUGCUGAGAUUUUGCAUUUUAGCGAAUUCCCAAUUGCUGCUGCUGAGAAUCUCAGAAGCUUUCCUGUAAAUUGGGAAAUUAAUGUUCUCAUGCCCUCUGAUCGAAAGUGCCCACACUACUCAGAAGUGUAACUUGAGACCCGUUACUCACUCACUCAAGCGCAUAAAUCCCUUAUCAGCAUUAGACGGCUGUCCAAGCCAAGGGCACCUGGGAUGCUGACCCCACCUGGGACUCUUUGGCCCUAUCCCCAAGAGCUACUUUCCAAUCACCCCUACAAUCAGGCUGUCAUCUCCUACAACUGCUCUACCUCAGGUUUCCCCUCACAUUUCAGUCCCAAACAGCCUCAAAUCAGGCCCUCCCAUGGGAAUGGGUUAAAGGAAGUGUGUGGGAAGGGUAUGAAUGAUUGGGGGGGGGGGGAAGUGGGGGUUCCCUCCCUGUCACUAGUGGUGGGUUUUGUAAACCAGCUUCAAAGAGCAAGUUCAGAAGCAAUAAGCAAGUGGUUUUGUUCUGAGGUUCAUAAGCCUGAACGACAUGACAACUGAGGGCUGGAGAGGACUGGCCUGACGCUGGAUUGGUCAGGCUUCCCAAGGCCAGUGUCAGACAUAUGUCUUACGCUGCAUCUCAGAUAACCUAGGAGGAGUGCCUCCAGAAACCACGGCUCUAUGGGGAUGAAGACUUCAGUGUCCGAGGUGCACAUGAAGAGUGGGAAUAAAGUUGUUACUUGAAAUGUGAGAUGGGGGGAAAAAGCAAUAUUUUGUACUAAUGUAUUCUUGUAUAUACUGUUAUUUUAAAUAUGCACAUGUAACUAAAUAAAUGUUAUAACUAGACAUCUGACUGUUUCAUCAACAUUCCAAAAGAUUUAAACUCUGAUACCUUAAUUAAAAAAAUUUUUUUUUCCUUUAUAAAAGUCGAGAUUUGCCUUCAAUGUAGGAUCACUUAUAUGAUUCAUGAAGUCCCUAUGGCCUGCCGAAGAAAGUCCAGAUUUCGUAUUUAGCAUUGAAAGCCCUGGGUGACCUAACCUAUUAGAUCUUGCAACCCUUGACCUUCAACUCCA
ensembl:lncRNA